CCCCAGACUCCUACGGGAGGCAGCAGUGGGGAAUAUUGCACAAUGGGGGAAACCCUGAUGCAGCAACGCCGCGUGAGUGAAGAAGUCAUUCGUGAUGUAAAGCUCUAUCAGCAGGGAAGAAAAUGACGGUACCUGAGUAAGAAGCCCCGGCUAACUACGUGCCAGCAGCCGCGGUAAUACGUAGGGGGCAAGCGUUAUCCGGAUUUACUGGGUGUAAAGGGAGCGUAGACGGUUCUGCAAGCCAGAUGUGAAAGCCCGGGGCUCAACCCCGGGACUGCAUUUGGAACUGUAAGGCUAGAGUGUCGGAGAGGCAGGCGGAAUUCCUAGUGUAGCGGUGAAAUGCGUAGAUAUUAGGAGGAACACCAGUGGCGAAGGCGGCCUGCUGGACGAUGACUGACGUUGAGGCUCGAAAGCGUGGGGAGCGAACAGGAUUAGAUACCCGCGUAU
rnacentral:rRNA from 1 species